AGCGGAACCAGCGCCGCGCACCCAUGUGCUUUCUCGGAAAAGCCUCUUCCUUUCGUUUUCGAGGCGGCCGCGGCGGGGCGAGCCUAAGCAGCCGCUGCCGCCGCUGUGGCAGAGCGCCGGGACGGACGGGCGGCCAGGCAUCUGCACCGAGACAACUACAUGGAGGUAUGCACCAUGUGUUGGGGAAUUACUGUGUGCUGAAAUGCUGCUGCUAGCAGUUCAGUUCUUCAUCAGGGUAUGGAGCAGAAGUCACCUUUGCAUUGGACAAAUGAGAGGAGGCUGAGCACACAACCAUGCAGCCCCCACUUCAGAAUGAUGAUCUAGACCUGGAAGCAGCCGUAGCAAACGCCCGGCCCCAGCUAGUGGAGUUCCUCAGUCACCGUCCCGAAUGGCUGCUCACGACCUCCCGGUGCUUCCUCCCUGGAGUGGCCAUGGAUGGCCUGGAUGGCAUCACCAACUGCAAAGAAAGAGUCUCAGUGCUCCUUGACCUGCUGGAGGCAGCAGGCCCUGCCACCUGGAAGCAGUUUGCACAGUACCUCUGCAUGGAGUGCGACCUCCCCCUGGAUCUGGAGAUACUGCUCAUGAGUUCUGCGGGAGAAGGUAACUUAAGCCAGAAACCAGAAGCAUGCACAGAUGGGAGUGCCUGGUCGUCUGUGCCAAAAGGGUUUUCUCGACGUCGCCAUCGCAGCAGCUCUGUGAGUGAUAGGGAUGCUAAACAGCAGCGACUAGAUUCAGCUGAAAAGUACCGGCGUCUCCUCAUUGAUUCUAUCUGCCAGAGAUACGGAAGCACAAGAGCAGCAGGAGCAGCAGCACAGCAACAAACACAACAAACACAGCCACUGGCUUUCAAACAAGCCUUUGUCAACCUUGUCAUUCGGCAGAGCAAAGCCUCCCGCUUAAAAGAGAGAACAGAUAGACCCCGGGGGGAUGCAGCGGGUGCUUCCGAACCAGAAGAAUGUGUGGGUACAGCCGUGAAAGUGUCAGAUCUGUUUUGUAACGUCAUCGCAUCAGGCAUGACGAAGGUGAUCUUUUUCGUUGGUAAACCAGGUACAGGCAAAACCAUGCUAAUGCACAGGAUUUGUCAGAAAUGGGCAGAAGGUGUCCUACCUCAGUUUCUCUUCACUUUCCUGUUUGAGUUUCGGCAGCUGAAUUUAUUAAAAAGAAAAUUGACCCUGAAGGAGCUUUUGUUUGACCUGUUUCUUCAGCCAGAAGACAGCCCUGAUGAAGUGUUCCAGUACCUGCUGGAAAAUGCCUGGCGUACACUGAUCAUCUUUGAUGGGCUGGAUGAGUUUGCAGCUAACAUGGACGUGUCAUCCUCUUCUAAGGGAGGCCCAACUCUUACCUCCCGUAUGUCCAUAUCUCAGCUCUUUGCAAACCUCUGUCAUGGGAAGCUCCUGCCUGGUUGCACAGUGUUGGUCACCAGCCGACCAAAGAGAUUACCUGACUUCUUAUUAAACACAGUAGACCUGCUAGGAGAAAUUUGGGGAUUUGACCAUGAGAAGGUUGAGGAGUAUGUCAGCCACUAUUUUAAUCAGCACUCAUUCAAAGAACAAGCCAUUGCUCACCUGAAGAACAACACCAAGCUCCUCAGCAUGUGUCAGAUCCCUGCUCUGUGUUACGUUGUGUGCAUCUGUUUGGAGUAUUUGCUUCUUAAACAUCAGAUGAGUGUGGAGCUUCCUCAGACUAUGACACAGUUUUAUAUCAGAAUGCUUCUCAUCUUCAUAAACAAACAGCAGGGAGAGCGUGUGCGUGAUGAGGUGACUCAGCUGAACUGUAACAAGAAUGCCAUUUGGGGUCUGUGUGAUCUUGCACUGAAAAGCCUGGAAGAUAAGAAACUUGUAUUUUAUGUAGGUGAUAUUCCAGAGCACGUGAAGGAAUUUGCUUCCUUACAUGGACUGCUGACUGUCUUUGAGGUGAAGACGAGUGGCACUCACCCAGAGACUGGCUAUGCCUUUGUGCACUUGAGCUUGCAAGAGUUUUUUGCAGCAGUGUGUCUCAUGAUAAGUAACAGGGUAGACAAGAACUACCUAAAGAAGAAGUUCUCCUUGAAGUCAAGGUGGACUUUAAAGAAUGUGACGAAGACUGAGUUCAUCGAGAAUUUUCACAUCUUUCUCUCAGGCUUGUCGUCGAAAGAGUGCAGGACAUUUCUCAUGCUGCUGGCUGAACAAGAUGAAGCGUGGGUGCAGGACAAGCAGGACGCAAUCCUGCAGUCUCUCAAGAAACUGGCGGCCACUCAUCUGACAGGGCCUAAGGUCAUCGAGCUCUGCCAUUGCACCUUUGAAACGCAAGACCUCAAAGUUGCCCAGCACAUCGGGCGCCUGCUGAAUUUCAAGUAUGAGUUUAAAAACUUUAGACUGACACCUCUGGACAUGUCGGCUUUGGUUUUUGUCAUAAACUCGGGCCAGGAUUUGACUUAUUUGGAUUUUGUAGGAUGUCUCAUGGACAUUGACUGUUUGGAGGUUCUGGCUGGCUGUAAAACUAUCGAGCACUUAAGCUUUCGUAGUAGGAGAUGUGGUGAUGACUUUGCUGCUGCCCUUUCAAAGAGCUUACAGGGAAUGGAGUGCCUGAAGAAACUAGAGUUGACAGGUGGGAGCAUCACAGCUGAGGGGAUGACUGACUUGGUCCAGGCUUUAUCACAGUGCCUCCAGCUUGAGGAAAUAAACUUGCAGGACAAUCGGAUACGUGAUCCAGAUGUGAAGAGGGUGAUGGACCUGUUCUCCAGAAUGGAAAAGCUGAAGAAAAUAGACCUGAGCAACAAUGAUCUUUCCUCGACUGCUGUUUUCCUUUUGGCAAAGGAAGUCAUCGCGUGUCAAAAUGCUACUGAACUGCGUGUCAGGGAGGACACGGUGAUUAUAUAUUUUUCUGGCUCAGCUGGGAAAGUUUCAAGAUCUUUGGAUUUGGGGUGGGAAGAGAAUACGGACCAUGCAAUUCCAACCAGACAUGUGAAGUUAUGCUUGCAGGAUCGCAGCCUGUCUCCCCAACAUGCCAAGGAGGUGGUUGCCAUUCUCCAGAGCUGUCCCUGUCUCUCUGAAGUGGAUUUAUCAGGUAACAAGCUUGGAGAUGAAGGCUGCAGUUGCCUGCUGGAAAGCCUCCCUUGGAUAUCAAUUUCAAAGCAGCUGGAUCUCAGUCAAAACUGCCUCUCUGUUAAUGGAAUUUGCAGUCUGUUGAAGUCUGUAAAUACCUGCCAGAAGAUGAUGGAGGUACAAGUCAGCCUUUGUCGUGAGACUGCAGUCCUGAGGUUUACUGAAGACAGAGAGUUUGCUUCCCAUCCUCCCAGGAAAGAUCCUGUGUUCUCUACUGAUGGCCAACAGCAUGGAGAGGAAAACCAGACACCCACUGCUUCUAAAAAAAUAAGACUGACAGAUGGUCAUUUUCAAGCCUGUGACCUGGAGAAGCUGUGUGCAGUCCUUAAGGAAUGUAGCAGCAUCUCUGAGCUGGACCUAUCACAUAAUUUUCUGGGAGACGAGGGACUUUUGCAGCUGUUUCAAUUCCUCACGAAUUUGAAGAUGUUACGUUCUCUCAAGUUUAAUGACAACCAGAUCUCUCUGAACUCUGUGUUUUUCUUAGCUCAGUCCUUAUGUACAUUGGAACACAUUAAAACAAUGAACAUCAGCUUAGGACACACACAGGUGAUUCACCUAACAUUUUGGGAAAGGACCAGGGCCAGAAGUACCAUCAGGUGGAGAAGCAAUUUCCUGGCGCAUCCCAAGCACAUAGCAAAUGGACGGUGCUUUCGUCUCAGGGACUGCAGACUGGGUCCAGAGGAUGUGACCAGGCUGUGCCAGAUCCUGGCUCAGUGUCCCCAGCUGACAGAAAUUGAUCUGUGUGGAAAUUCAUUGAGUGACCAGAGCAUUGAGAGAUUGCUGAGCUUCCUGCCGUACUUCCAUCAUCUGACACUACUGAGUAUUAGGAAUAAUGCAUUUUCCUCACGUUGCACUGUCUUACUUGUCAACUCCAUCAACCUCUGUGAACGGAUCAGAACGGUAGAAGUCCGGUCAAAUGAAAAUGCUUUUUUACAUUUCGGAACAAGCGUGCGAAGCCAAAGGACAUCCUGCAGGGUGACGGGCUGUGCCAUCGGUCAGGGGCAGGUAGAUGAGCUCUGCAGCGUCCUGGCACAGCGUGGGUGGCCGGCUGAAGUCGAUCUCUCCAGGAAUCAGCUGGGAGAUGAAGGUCUGCGGUGCCUCUUGGACCACUUGCAUCAAGUGCCUAUUACCUGUUCCCUCAAUCUCAGCCAUAAUAGGAUUUCUCAGGAUGGAGUUCUGCAGCUCAUAAAUGCCUUUGCCACAUCUGGAAAUACUACUGAAGUUCAAGUCAGUUUGUGCUCCAAAGCAACUUUAAUCAUCAAGUUGACAAGCAGAGAUGACACGAGAAAGAUUUUGAGACUUGCUAAGUGCAACUUUCAGCCAGAGCACUUGGAGAAGUUGUGGUUGCUCCUGGAAAAGUGCACUGGUCUGACAGAAUACAUAUCCUCAAAUAACAACGUGACAGUCCAAGUGGCAGGAAGACUUUUCCGUUCACUGAGGAAAAAUCUGGGUCCUCUGAAAAUCAGCAUAGAAGAGCCGUGGGUAUAUACAGAAAGUGUCACGAACCUUCUUGACCUGGCUGUCCAGGCAUAUGGAAACGUUACUGAGAUUGUGAUCUGUAAAGAUAAAACCCUCUUCCAAUUAGGCGUAAAGUUCCCACACUGCCUGGAGAAAGUGGAAUCAGUUGUUAGCAGACUGAAUCUGUACAAGCCAGAAAUUAAGCACGCUCGCUUCUACCAAAGGGUUCAUGAAAAAUGUGCUCAGCUUCAGGAGUUGAGAUGGUCUCAUGUUGAGCUCCACAAUGUUGAAGCAGAAAUGCUAGUCAAGAUUUUGCUGCCUCUUCCAGAGCUGAAGAAGUUUGUGCUGACCUCUAGCAGUAUUAAGCCAACUGAAAUUGAUGCCUUAAUCGUGGGCUUCCAGAAUUGCCAGGCCAUUGAAGAGCUCAACCUGGGCUACAUGGAACUCAGCAGCGUUGCCAUUCCCACGCUUGUGCUGGGACUUAAUGAAAUGCCAUCUCUGAAGAGGCUUAUCUUGAACCACAACAGUAUUGGUAAUGAUGGCUGCUCCAGACUUGCCGAAGCCUUGAGGAAUAUGCACUAUGUGGAGGAAAUCAAUUUAAGCCACAACAAGAUUGGAGAUCCAGGCCUGAUAAAUCUAGCUGCUGUCCUGCCGGCAAUGCAAAACCUGAAGAGAAUCGACCUUUCAGGGAACAGUCCCAGUCCUGCUGGAGGGGAAAAGCUGAUGGAAGCUCUUGCCUAUUGCAAAUGCAUUGAGGAGCUACUACUGUCAAGGAAUGGUUUUGGAGACAAGACAGCAGUGAAACUUGCCCUCUGUCUGCCUCACAUGACCAACCUCAAGACCCUGCACUUGCAGAACAAUAACAUUGGGCCAGCAGGAGGGAUGGAGCUGACCACAGCCCUGGUGGCCUGUGGGCUGCUGGAAGAGAUCAGUUUAUCAGAAAAUGACCUUGGAGAAGGGAGUAUCCGUGCCCUGUCCGAGGGGCUGCCCUGCUUCCAACACCUCCGGAGGAUCGACUUGAAACUCUGUGGAAUCACUGAUGAUGCUUCAAAAUCACUUUCUCGCAGCUUCCAACAAUGCCCUUCCAUAGAGGAGAUAACACUGUCUUGGAACGCCCUUGGUGAUGGAGGAGCCCGAGAGUUGGCCAGUGCUCUCCCAGAGAUGGAAAAGCUGAAGAUGUUAGAUCUGGAGAAGAAUCGCAUUGGCGCCUGUGGGGCCACAAAGCUAGCAGAGGAACUUGCCAGGUGCCCGGAAAUUCAGUCCAUAAGGUUGUGGGACAAUCCAGUGCCCGAGGGCCUUGCUCAGAAUUUGACAAGCCAAGACCCAAGACUCUGUUUCUCCUUCUACUAGUAAAGAAAAGCCCUCGCCUGACUAGGAAUUGCACCUUGUCUCACACAGCCCUCAACAAUUGCACUGAAGAACCCAGGAAAUCAAAGCUCCUACAAUUAAAAACUGUAGCUAUUUGGUCUUCCUUCGUUGCACUGAACCGUGUGAAUGCUUUGUGGUGGUUUGUUUCUCGUGAGCUUUUCUUGUGCAGAAAAGCAAAAGACUCUAAAGAAUCGCUGCUGAGCAGGCAGUGUUCUUGCUGUACAAACACUGAAACUCUCUCCAGGAGGAUGACAUGCAUCUACUCAGGCAUUCAGAAAGCCAACAGGGUAUUUAAUUAUCUUUAAUCAAGAUUACAACACCCACAGGGUGUUCCAAUAAAAGAAUUCACAUCCUCUAGGAGAGGAUGUAAAAUUAUUUAUAAAAUUGUAAGAUGUUGACCUUGUUAGAAAUGCACUCAGGCUGUUUGAAAAUUGUGGAUAACUGUAUGUGAAAUACCUCUGUGAUUUUUAGGCAAGCACUGGUUAUAUGUAUUUUUGUUUGCUUCAUAGCAGGCUUCUUUUCAUACAAAAUUGCCUCAGUUUCAUAGUAGAAACUUCAGGACUUUAGAAAUCUCAAAUCAUUCCCCUCAAAUAAUAUUUAUACUGUGAUAACGUGGAAAGGCUGAUGUCACCAUAAAUUUCACUGAGAAACUUCAAAGCAGUGAGGUUGUAAAACAAUUUGUAAGAAAAAUGACUAUUCUCCGUGAGACGUACACUACUGAGUAUUUUCACAUGGGGCUUUAGUAGACCUUUGUGAGUUUUUGGAAGAUUUGAUUGCACUGUUUGAGGUGAAGCAAGGGAUCACUUAGCUUGAAGCACUGACCACAUGGAAGAUCCUUCAAGCUUCUACCAUCCCCUGAAUCCCAAAGCCACUGUGUUGCUGGGUGAUGGAUGUUGGAACUGUGAGAACUGGAGGGAGAAGAUUCCAGACACCGAGUUGGCUGCUUCAGCUGCCCUUCGUAUGUGUGGAAUGCCAGCUUGCAUCCUUCUAAUUAUUUAUUAACUUGUUUUAUCAUGUUUUCCUUAUGUGUAAAUAUUUAAUCCUUGUAGUGGGUUUAUUUAUGGACUUUUGUUUACGGCACUGUUUGCCUGGAGAGGUGUAACUGAUGGAAAUGAGACAGAAAUGCUGGUCCAGCAAACCUUUGGGCAGAGGAUGUGGAGAAAUGGUGCCUCCUAUUCCUGUCCUUAUUUAAAAAUCAGCAUUAGGCUCUGUGAGAUACUGAUAUUGUUGCAUAGAUGUAGGAUGCAUUUUGCAGAGACUGCGCUCUGUAAAGGGUUUAAAGCAGCAACAAAUUUUAAAAGUUAGCAAAAGUCCUUACCAGACCAUAAUUCAAUAAAGUAAUCAAGUACUAGAGAUUCAAACACUGGAAUUUAGGAAAAACUUCACCAAAUGUGGCUUUUAUUUUCAUUCUGUAUAUUCAGAUCUAGUUCGCAGAUGCAAAUCUUCCCAGCACCCAGCAGAGGAGCGGUGUGGCACAAAAGGCAGCAUGAUCAUGUACCAAAAGGCCUCUCAGGGCCAUUGGCACGUCACAAUUUUCAAGCUCCCCUGACUCCUGAAGUGAGGAAGCGUACAUCUGCACCAUGAGGUACAGCUGCAGUGCAUCAGAGAGUGCCUCGAAUCCAGAUGCACACCUGCAUUUCUCACGUUCUUCCCCAAAUUCAGGAUUAGCUCCCAAACACGUGUCUGUCUGACCCGAGAGAGCUGCCACCCCAGCGCAAGCCCCAGGGAAGGGACUUGCAAGAUGUCACAGCAACUUUUUGAGAACACCAGGUGUCAGCAAAACCCCAAAAAUAGGAAGCAGUUGUCUGUAGUCCAGUGAUUUUGGCUAAAAGCGGGCUCUGUGCUGUCUUUUGAGUGCGUGGGUUGCAUUUAAAAUAUAUAUAUAUAUUUGGAUUGAGUUGUAUGUGAAACACGAGAACACAAUUGGUCCUAAGUUUGUUUCUUGCACUGAAUGCCAGGGACUUUUAGGCCACCCUUCCUCAUUGUGCUCCCCAUUUCAUUUCGUUGCUCAUGUCCAUAUUCCAGCUUGUGUUCACAUCUGAAAGUUUCCAAGGGGAACCUGGAGGAUUUGUGUAAUUUUUGAGGGAUUAAAUGAAUCUUCUGGUAUGCAGGAAGACAUCAGGCCGUUGGGGAUUGUGUGUGAAGGCUGAAUACCAGACCAAUUUCCAAACAGAUAAUUAACGUGGUCCAUUUUUAGAGCUGUUACUAUUACGUUUCAGAUUUAUCAUGGUCCAAAAAUGGAAAUGUAUCAGGAUGCUCCACACACCCCUAUUGUUUCAGGCUGCCUGCAGUCUCUGAAGACAAUGUCUGAGCUAGUCAGUACUGGUUUCAUACACAGAAGGGAAUUUGCCCCCUGAGACCAGAUCUUUAGAAAGAAAUACAGUGCUGUAAAUAAACACGCUGCUGGAGGGCGAUGAGGAGCCUGGUUUUUGUGCUAGGAACAGCCAGAGCCAGGCUGGGCCAGGCUUUUGCACGCAAUGGCUGAUGUCUUGUAGAGCUGGAAACACAGCCGCUGUUCCCCCUCUGCUAAAACCAGUUCCAGCUAAACCUGCCAUGACUUGGAGGCAUCCUGCUGGGCAGGAAAGAAAACAUAGGAAAAACUGAUUUUUUUGAGAAAAUGGGCACAUUUGCAUUAAUGAAAUACUGUCUGCCUCUGCCUUUUUCUCCACAAAGUGACAUUUUAGGCCAUGGGCAUGGAGGCAAGAGGGCAGGUCUGGCACAGCCCCUGGUUCUCCCGCUGAAUUCCUCUUUCAGGCGCAACCUCAUCCUUUCCUGUGAUGGUUUCUGGCCAGAUCUACAUGGAAAGAAGGUGUUUGCUCCUAAAAACUGGGCUCAGCUACUAGGUGGAUGUUGCCUGUGGUGUCACCUGUGCUGAGCAGGAGCGUUUGUGACCCGUGAGCCUGUCCUGUGUCCCCAGCCCCGCUCCUGGGGUGCUGGGAAGGGAGCAGGGCUGGCAGGGGGGGAACCUCAUCCAGGCUGAAAACUGACUGGGUGCUUUCAACCUCUUCUGGCUUAGACAGCUCAAGCUGGAGGAGAGGGGAAAGCUGGGCAGGGGCAAUACACUACUUAUUUUACCAGUGAUCUUUAAAAGCACAAGCGGAGCCUGUAGCAAAGGGCUCUGUACAAAUGCAGACAGCAUCUUUUAGCUGAAGCCUCAGAGGGAGGCUUCUUGUCUUAUUACCCUGUGUCCAUAUAAAAAAAUAUCUAUAUAAAUAUCCCCAGUGCUUGAUGAUGUGGCUGCCAAGCGUCAGGUGAGGCUAUUAAUGGUACGUUGGGUGCAAACCCCAGUGGCGGCAGGCUGGGACGGGAAUCACGCUGGCUCCCCGGGCCGAGCAGGGUGUCGGGGGGUGCGAUGCUGGCCAGGCCCGUGGCGUGGGCUCCCCCCAGCUCUGGGGCAGCAUUGGGCACUCACCUAUUUUCCUUGUUUCACCAGCUUUUUCCCACGGGAAGCAACAUCAGCCAGAGCCACCGCAGGACACAGCGUCCCGACCCGGACCCUGUGCUGGUUUUGACAGGGUGAUGCCAGCACCGGGAGCACCCACAGUUCGUGGGCAGGAUGGGCCCCGCUGGCAUCCAGGCAGCACAAAAAAUCCUGGGUUUGGGUUAAA